UAGUAGGGUUCGUUAUCGCUGAGCCACGAUGGGAACUCUCACUACAACAUGUAAUUACUUUUAUAAUUUCUGUUCAUUUUCCCCUUUUUCAAUGAAAUACACAGAGGUUUAAAAGGACAUUUGCUCAAGUUUUGAAAUAGGCUGUCUCUGAUAUGACAUACGGGGACUUUUUCUUUUCUUAUAUGAUUCUCUAUAUUUUCAGCUUUUUAAAAAUUUAUUUUUAUAAUAAGCCUUUAAGUAUUUCCAAUAAUAAAUAUCAAGUUAAAAAUAAAGACUAUAUCAUGAAACUUUUUGGCUGAGCUGCCUUUUAUUUUCUUUCCAAAACCAUGCUUUUAUGCCAAGACACAUACUUCUUAAGAUCAAGGUAAAAAAUAAAAGAUAAAAAUGGACUUCAGCCAAAACAUGUAGGAGGCUGUCCGAAAGCACUAUAGUUGCUUCUGAUUAAAACCAAACUGAACCAAACUUUCUUGAAAACAGGUUUCUAAAGUGACUCGAAAGUGACAGCAAACAGUUUCAAUUGAGGGCAGUUCCUAAGGCCUAGAGGAGCAAGAAUUAGAAGUUUGGAGAGUAAGUUUAUAGACUCUGGGGAUUCUUUUAGAGGUUCCGUGUGGUGUCCGAUGGGAAUUCUUCAUAAAUAAGGUCUAAAUUUCUAACUAUUACUCCUAAUGCUUAAGCAUAGGAAAAGCCUAAGUUUAGUAACAAUGAAGGAUGUUCCUCUCUAAAAAUCACUGGAGACCAAACUUGUAUGUCUGUUUACAGGUUUACCUCUUAUUUACCCCUGUUUAUCUUUGUUAUAACACAAAAUUUUGAGACUCUGAAAUUAGAAUUAGCAGCUGGUAUUAUAGUACAUUCAUAAAGAAUCACUAGUGAAAUAUCCUCACCUUAUGCAAAAAAGCUUGAGAAUCAUCUUCACUCUCUUUGUGAUAGGCAAGGAAGGAGGGAGAUUACCAAGAAUCGAAUGGAUAAAACUCCUGAAUAGGAGGAUGAAGCAGAAGGAACGUGUCCAGAUCAAGAUCCUGAAGCCUGACUAUUUUUUCCUGCCAAAGAGCUGCCAUCUUGUGGAUUUAACCCCUACCUUUCAAUAUCUUAAGUUUCCUUAGGUAUUCCUCCCCCUCUAUCACCAACACACACACUUUUUUUUUUCUUUUUUCUUUUAUGGACACCCUAUGGCAUAUGGAGUUCCUGUGACAGGGAUCAAAUCUGAGCUGUAGUUGUGACCUAAGCUGCAGCUGUGGCAACACUGGAUCCUUCACCCACUGUGCUAGGCCCCCAUCAAACCUGCAUCCCAGGGCUUCCAAGAUGCAGCCGAUCCUGUUGCGCCAUAGCGGGAACCAAACAACCAAACAACCACACACACACACACACACACACACACACACACACACACACACAGGUGUGCUUUUAAAAACAUUUUAUUUUAUUUUAUUGCCACUGGAUACUGCUUCCUCUUUUCCUUAGUCCUGAUUGUAUUUACAAACAAGAAUUUGGGUUGUUCCCUUGAACCAUACAACUCUUCAAGAAAUUUACCUUAGUGUUUCUUUUCCUAAGAGCCUCUUUAUAUAGCACAUUGAGGUGACUCUCUUAUGUGCAUCUAGUGUAAUCCAUUGUAAGGAACUGCUACAUGUCAUUAUAGAAAUUCCAGUCAAUGCAAAUCCUCCUGUAUCCAUAUUCUAGGACACUGGGCAGAACUUCAUGGAAGCACUAGUUUAAUUGGUGUUGAGUCCAGUCCACACACAGAAUUCUUCCUACAAGGCCAUUUGAGAUCUUGCAGAGGUGCUGAAUUUUGCUGCCCGAAGUUGUCUGUCCUUGUGUUAUUUCUAGGAGCCAUUCAAGCCUCACUCAAAAUUCUUUUCCUCCAUCUCUGGAAGAGAUCUCUCUCUGUAUUUUCCCAGUUUGGGUACUAGUAGAUACAAAUUCUGUUUGCCAGCCCUACAGAAAGAACUAAAAAUGCAUAAUAUUUGGUCUCAGCUUGUAGGACUGGACUAAGAUUUAGAUAGUUUCUGACUCUCCACAAUGAUUUCUUGUCUUCCCACAUCUCUAAUAAAAGUAGGCAUAUUUAUGGAGCA
rnacentral:lncRNA from 1 species